GCCUGGCUGGCUCAGUAGGUAGAGUAUGCGACUCUUGAUCUCAGUGUUGUGAGUUCAAGCCCGUGUUGGGCA
rnacentral:tRNA from 1 species